rnacentral:rRNA from 14 species
CCCCGUAGAGCUUUACUGCAGCCUGAUAUUGGAUUUCGGUAACGGAUGUACAGGAUAGGUGGGAGACUGGGAAACAGGAACGUCAGUUCCUGCGGAGUCGCUGUUGGGAUACCACUCUUCUGUUACUGAAGUUCUAACAUGGAUCUGUGAAACCAGAUAAUGGACAGUGUCAGGUGGACAGUUUGACUGGGGCGGUCGCCUC